rnacentral:piRNA from 1 species
UCCUUGCAGAGGUGCUGAGGAUUGAAUGAG